rnacentral:tRNA from 1 species
UUCUUGAAAAUAUCAUAUUCAAGAGGACCUUUUUCUGUUUCGAUAAAGAAAUCAAAAUUUACUGUAUUAAA